rnacentral:rRNA from 1 species
GUAGGUGGCAAGCGUUGUCCGGAAUUAUUGGGCGUAAAGCGCGCGCAGGCGGGUUCUUUAAGUCUGAUGUGAAAGCCCACGGGCUCAACCGUGGAGGGUCAUUGGAAACUGGAGAACUUGAGUACAGAAGAGGAAAGCGGAAUUCCACGUGUAGCGGUGAAAUGCGUAGAGAUGUGGAGGAACACCAGUGGCGAAGGCGGCUUUCUGGUCUGUAACUGACGCUGAGGCGCGAAAGCGUGGGGAGCAAACAGGAUUAGAUACCCUGGUAGUUCACGCCGUAAACGAUGAGUGCUAAGUGUUAGGGGGUUUCCGCCCCUUAGUGCUGCAGCUAACGCAUUAAGCACUCCGCCUGGGGAGUACGGCCGCAAGGCUG